GACGAACGCUGGCGGCGUGCUUAACACAUGCAAGUCGAACGGAAAGGCCUGCUUUCCCUUGUGGAUUGCGGGUACUCGAGUGGCGAACGGGUGAGUAACACGUGAGUGAUCUGCCCCCAACUUGGGUAUAAGCCUGGGAAACUGGGUCUAAUUCACGAUAGGACUGCAGGGUGGUGCCUGUGGUGGAAAACGAUUUUCUAGUGGUUGGGGAUGAGCUCGCGGCCUAUCAGCUUGUUGGUGGGGUAAUGGCCAACCAAGGCGGCGACGGGUAGCCGGCCUGGGAGGGUGGACGGCCACAUUAGGACUGAGAUACGGCCCAGACUCCUACGGGAGGCAGCAGUGGGGAAUAUUGCACAAUGGGCGGAAGCCUGAUGCAGCGACGCCGCGUGGGGGAUGACGGCCUUCGGGUUGUAAACUCCUUUCGACCGCGAGGAAGCCACCUGGUUGGAAGGGUGGUGACGGUAGUGGUAGAAGAAGCACCGGCUAACUACGUG
rnacentral:rRNA from 1 species